rnacentral:rRNA from 1 species
GACGAACGUUGGCGGCGUGCUUAACACAUGCAAGUCGAGCGGAAAGGCCACUUCGGUGGUACUCGAGCGGCGAACAGGUGAGUAACACGUGAGUAAUCUGCCCCUGGCUUUGGGAUAGCCACCGGAAACGGUGAUUAAUACCGGAUAUGACCACUUCUCGCAUGGGAUGGUGGUGGAAAGUUUUUCGGCCAGGGAUGUGCUCGCGGCCGAUCAGCUUGAUGGUGAGGUAAUGGCUCACCAUGGCUUCGACGGGUAGCCGGCCUGAGAGGGUGACCGGUCACACUGGGACUGAGACACGGCCCAGACUCCUACGGGAUGCAGCAGUGGGGAAUAUUGGACAAUGGGCGGAAGUCUGAUCCAGCAACGCCGCGUGAGGGAUGACGGCCUUCGGGUUGUAAACCUCUUUCAGUACCGACGAAGCGCAAGUGACGGUAGGUACAGAAGAAGCACCGGCCAACUACGUGCCAGCCGCCGCGGUAAAAC